rnacentral:rRNA from 1 species
AGAGUUUGAUCCUGGCUCAGGACGAACGCUGGCGGCGUGCUUAACACAUGCAAGUCGAACGAGAUCCAAUGUGUAGCAAUACACAUGAAGAUCUAGUGGCGAACGGGUGAGGAACACGUGAGAAACGUACCCCAGACUUUGGGAUAACAGUUCGAAAGGACUGCUAAUACCAAAUAACGUCGGAAGUCCGCAUGGACAUCUGACGAAAGGGAUUCCGGUUUGGGAGCGUCUCGCGGACCUAUCAGCUAGUUGGAGGGGUAACGGCCCACCAAGGCAACGACGGGUAGCUGGUCUGAGAGGAUGGUCAGCCACACUGGGACUGAGACACGGCCCAGACUCCUACGGGAGGCAGCAGUGGGGAAUCUUGCGCAAUGGGCGAAAGCCUGACGCAGCAACGCCGCGUGCGGGAAGAAGGCUUUCGGGCUGUAAACCGCUUUCAGUGGGAACGAAACUGACGGUACCCACAGAAGAAGGAGCGGCCAACUAUGUGCCAGCAGCCGCGGUGAUACAUAGGCUCCAAGCGUUGUCCGGAUUUAUUGGGCGUAAAGAGCUCGUAGGCGGUUGAGUAAGUCGGGUGUGAAAACUUUGGGCUUAACCCAAAGAUGCCACUCGAUACUGUUUAACUAGAGUUCGGUAGGGGAGCGGGGAAUUCCUUGUGUAGCGGUGAAAUGCGCAGAUAUAAGGAGGAACACCGGUGGCGAAGGCGCCGCUCUGGGCCGAUACUGACGCUGNNNNNCGAAAGCGUGGGGAGCAAACAGGAUUA